CCUACGGGUGGCAGCAGUGAGGAAUAUUGGUCAAUGGACGAGAGUCUGAACCAGCCAAGUAGCGUGAAGGAUGACUGCCCUAUGGGUUGUAAACUUCUUUUAUAUGGGAAUAAAAUGUUCCACGUGUGGGAUUUUGUAUGUACCAUAUGAAUAAGGAUCGGCUAACUCCGGGCCAGCAGCCGCGGUAAUACGGAGGAUCCGAGCGUUAUCCGGAUUUAUUGGGUUUAAAGGGAGCGUAGGGGGAUUGUUAAGUCAGUUGUGAAAGUUUGCGGCUCAACCGUAAAAUUGCGGUUGAAACUGGCAGUCUUGAGUACAGUAGAGGUGGGCGGAAUUCGUGGUGUAGCGGUGAAAUGCUUAGAUAUCACGAAGAACUCCGAUUGCGAAGGCAGUUCACUGGACUGCAACUGACACUGAGGCUCGAAAGUGUGGGUAUCAAACAGGAUUAGAUACCCUUGUAGUC
rnacentral:rRNA from 1 species